rnacentral:rRNA from 1 species
UACGUAGGGUGCGAGCGUUAAUCGGAAUUACUGGGCGUAAAGCGUGCGCAGGCGGUUUUGUAAGCCAGGUGUGAAAUCCCCGGGCUCAACCCGGGAAGUGCACCCGAAACUGCGAGGCUUGAGUACCGGAGAGGUUGGUGGAAUUCUCGGUGUAGAGGUGAAAUUCGUAGAUAUCGAGAGGAACACCGGUGGCGAAGGCGGCCAACUGGACGAGUACUGACGCUGAGACACGAAAGCGUGGGGAGCAAACAGG